rnacentral:lncRNA from 1 species
AAAGCAGACAGACACACACACAUACACACAGACACGACGGAGAAAGGAAUGAAUUAAAAUACACACACAGGUCCCACAACAAAACAGCGGUGGAAAAGAAAAAAAGACAAAAGGGAACAACAAGAAACCCUCAAAAUGAACUUUAAAAAACAAGCCAGAAAUGCCACCCGAACACCGUGUCCUGCAAUAUAGCAUGAAAGAGAGUAACACAAGCCUCCGGAGACAAUUUAUCUAGCAGACCAUACACAACAAUAAUGCCAUUUCCCCAACAUUAUACAUUAACAGUGCAGUCCAUUAACUACGAAAACCACCAAGACAGCCAGAGAGAAAACAGUAUCCUAAAGAGGGAGGGAAGAAACAAUCCUCAGAGCAACAAGAAAGAAGGAAAAACAACUGUCUGCAAGGUAUAAAUAAAGUAGCAUUUGCGUUAAUCCUUCCCAGCGUUUAACUGAUAGUUGCCUGCCGGAGAAGAAGGGGGAGGGGGAGAAAGUUGAAGCAGGAAAUGUGCCAAGUUCAGCACUUUUGGACGCAAACUCCCAUCAACUGAUUCCUGGCAUAAAAGUGUGACCCAUAUACAAAAGCUGCCAAAAAAAGCAAAAUAUAAACAAUCCACCACUUAUAUCUCAUCCUGUAAAACAGAAGUGAUAUCAGCAUUUAAGAAGGGGGUAUAACAUCCACUUUGAAACCACAGAGACACAAUCUCGGCCUGGAGGAAGAAAAAAAACAAGAGCCAAGCAAGUUAAAAAAAAAAAAUUCAACGCCGCAUACCAAUGCACUGUAUUGCAUUAAAUAAAUGGGAUCCUGAAAUCUGUAACACACCACCGGGCCGUUGGCCUCACAUUCCCAGAAAUGCAGGAAAUCGGCGCAGACUGAGAGGGAAACAUGCACGAUUUCAGAUCCGCUGCCUGGUUUAUUUCAGUCUCUGCUGAAGGCACUUCGACCAAAUUGCCCGCUUCUCUCAGCGGGACUGGAGGUGUAGCCGCUGUCGUGACACCCAGAAYGGACGGACAGCCCUUAGCACUGGCACUGCUCUGAGCAGAUGGCAAUGCAGAGGGGAAUAACGGAGCAGGAACGGUGAAGUCCCUUGCAACUGCUUUAAAAARUUUUAAAUACAUCAGAUUCCAAAAUACUUCAGUUUAGCCCUUGCGGACCACACUUGACAAGAACAUUUCU